AGCUUACAUACUAUAGUCCAAAGAGUUUUCUCUAAAAACUCCAUGUUGACUCAAGCAUGGAUAACAGGUCAGCCGGUCAGCCGCAUAUCCCAGAGUUCCAUGCUCUGAGGCGACCCUGAACCACUGUACUCUGAAGACAGUGGCGGUUGGUGCACCUGGCCCCUGGAGGAGGUAGGCUGGUAGAGGGUUCAGUGAGUUCAGCCAGGGCCCCAGGCUCAAAGCCAGCAGCCUUUAAACGAUGCCAUCUCCUACAUUCAACUGAGAUCCCACUGAGACUAUUUUCAAACCGCUCACAGGCACUCCUAUCGCUGGAGGAACUCAGGCUCAGGAGGCUGACCUCUCAAUUGAUGAAGGCUGAGCGUGAACCAGAAACAGUUUGCUGACGUUAUGAUUCAAGCCUUUCGCGACUAUACAAAUUCUCAUCCACAAACCAUCCUGCAUUGCUGACAUCCUAUCUCCGUAAAUGAAUAAACCAACCCUUGCUGGUGGAGAAAGACUGGAUGAUAUCGGAGUAGCUGUGGCUCGUCUCUGUUCUAUGCACCCCUUGGAUCCGCGGGGUAUUCAGGUUCGGGGGCAGGGGGCGGCUACUUUUUUCCAAAUCACCAUUCAGGGGUCCGGGAGUUCCUCUGACAAUCUGGCCCGGUUGACUCAAGCAAGACCAAACCAAGUGGAAUACUGCAGAGAGGCGGCAUUGGGUUCACCUAAAUGGGAUCUCCGCAUUCCGCUCAGCAUGAACAAAUGGGCUCUGACUCACACUCCAUGCGGUGUUAAUGUAUUCCAAAAGACACCCUAAGGCUUGAGGAACGGGUAUUUAACACACAGCCAUCCGUACAGCAUAUAAUUAAGAGAAUUAGAUUUCCUGCUCAGUUGGAGAAUACAGGUUAGCGGUGACAUAGAAAGGCGUGGAAGGAGACCCCAUGUUUAAAGAACUUAGAGAGUGGAGGUAUCAGCGGUAGUACCACUAGGGGUGCAUCCCCAUAAUAUCUCCUUUCUCCUGAAGUGUACACUCGUUCACUACUCUCACAAAUCUAAAGACAUUGGAUUGUUAGAGGCAUGGGAUAGAGGUAACUUCCACCAUAGUGCUCCUGAGUGGCGCAGCGGUCUAAGACACUGCAUCUCAGUGCUAGAGGCAUCACUACAGACCCUGGUUUGACUCCAAGCUGUAUCACAACCAGCUGUGAUUGGGAGUCCCAUAGGGCGGCGCACAAUUGACCCAGUGUGGUCCAUGUUAGGGCUUGGUUGGGGUAGGCCAUAAUUGUAAAUAAGAAUUUGUUCUUAACUGACUUGCCUAGUUAAAAUUAAAAUAUAUAUAUAUCAUACCAGUAAUUUCCUUUCAAAUCAGUGAAGAAAAGUGAACAAGUGCACACUUUGGGAGGAAGGAGAGAUAAUUGGGACAUGGCCUCCCACUGGGCACAGACAUCAAUUCAACAUCUAUUCCACGUUGGUUCAGUGUAAUUUGAAAUGAUGUGGAAACAAUGUUGAUACAACAGGUGUGUGCCCAAGAGGAUAGAAAAACACUGAGACACACAGACUGGUGUACCAUUAAAUAUACAGGACUCUGGGGAGGCAGUGCGGUGAAAGAGCAUGCAAUAUUAAGUAAAAAUAUGAAGUAAAAAGACAAUAAACAUUCUGUAAUUGACAUCAAUUUGGACCCGGAUAAACGGAUGCUCUUAAAUGAUUUAGAAAAAUCUGACUUUCUUCAAAAAGCUGGAGAAUGAUUGCAUUUGAAACCCGGGAGGGAAAUGUGAUCGGUUGUAGUGUUAAUCUGAGCUGUAUGAUUUGGAAGUAAGAUCAUCUAUGGAUGCCGAUGUUGCCACAAAGCCACAAGUCCCGGGUUGUUAUGACACCCUGGAAUGAAAGCAAGGUGAAUGUUUUGUUUGUAUGAGUGCCGAUGUUGCCACAAAGCAACAAGGCCCGGGAUGCCACGAGGUCUCCGGUUGCCACGACACCCUGGGGUGAAUACAAGGUGAAUGUUUUGUUUGUAUGAUUUCUAAAGCUAUGAACAAAAAUCUGAAGAACAUGUGAGUCAUCUCAUAAAAAAUAUAUAUACAGUACCGUUCAAAAGUUUGGGGUCACUUAGAAAUGUCCUUGUCCGUUAAAAUAACAUCAAAUUGAUC